CCAAAAGAUCAUCCGUUGCAUUCCUCCAAGCCGACACAAAUUAGAGCUCCAUCUCUUCAGAUCAAGAAAAUUUGGGCCGGGAUGUAAGCAGUGCUACUGAAGACGAGAAAAUUGUAGACAUAGCAGUGACAUUCUUUAUCCUAUAUAAAGUAGGUAGGGACCAGAAAAUUGUCAUCUAUGUUUGGUGCAUUUGUGAUCAUCAGGGGUGAAAAAGGAAAGAGCCAGAAAAAUUGUAUGGACAUGAAAGCUUCCACAUAAGUUUAUUCAACAAUACAAAACUUCCUCACGAAGUUGUUGUGCUAAUGUUGUAAUUGACUGCCUUUUGGUAACGGUGUUAGAGUCCUUUUGUGAUGGUGUUAGUUUUUUGUCAAGCACGUGGGUGCUUUUAAGAUAGUGAUGAAGCAAAAGUAAGAACAGAUUAAAGGGCUCAUGGGAGAACUGAAGGACUCAUUCCUAGUUGUCAUGGGAGUAAUGAUUAAUUUAACUUUUGCAUGAACUGUUUCCUACUAACAGCGUUAAAAUACUGCUCGCAAUCAAAGUAAAAGUCUUUUAAGGACUAUAAAAAUUACAAAUUAUCUAAAAGAUCUAACGAUAUGAUAUUUGAAACAGAAAAUAGAAAGGGCUACUAGG